CGGCAUUCCUUGAAAUGCCCCGAACGAACAAAACAAAAAGAAACAAGGACCAAUGAGAUAAGCCACAAAAGAAGAAAGGAAAUACCCAAAAAAUAACGAAUACAUUGCAGCGCAACAAAAAAGAAGAAAGGAAAACCCCCAGCAAAGGCGAGCGGUGAAUUGCUGUUGGUGCAAUUGCCCCAUUACGCAAUUAUUGGAAAUGCUAUGGCCGCUGUUGGCUCAAAAUCGCUAAACAAACGCCAUCCUUUCAUUCAUUUUGAUCCCGCAUCAUUGGAUUCCACGUGGAGUCAAGAUUCUCAUUUCUCAAGACUUCGUCUCAAAUGACACAAGGAAAUGGC